rnacentral:rRNA from 1 species
UACGGAGGGUGCGAGCGUUGUCCGGAAUCAUUGGGCGUAAAGGGCGCGUAGGUGGCCCGGUCAGUUCGUGGUGAAAGCGCGGGGCUCAACCUCGCGUCGGCCAUGAAUACUGCCGCGGCUGGAGCACUGUAGAGGCAGGCGGAAUUCCGGGUGUAGCGGUGGAAUGCGUAGAGAUCCGGAAGAACACCGGUGGCGAAGGCGGCCUGCUGGGCCAGUUGCUGGACACUGAGGCGCGACAGCGUGGGGAGCAAACAGGG